GACGGAGGGUGCAAGCGUUGCUCGGAAUCAUUGGGCGUAAAGGGUGCGUAGGCGGCUUCUUAAGUCUGACGUGAAAGCCCAGGGCUUAGCCUUGGAAGUGCGCCAGAAACUGGGAGGCUAGAGUACCGGAGGGGAGAGUGGAAUUCCUGGUGUAGCGGUGAAAUGCGUAGAUAUCAGGAGGAAUACCGGUGGCGAAAGCGACUCUCUGGACGGUAACUGACGCUGAGGCACGAAAGCGUGGGGAG
rnacentral:rRNA from 1 species